rnacentral:rRNA from 1 species
UACAGAGGUCCCAAGCGUUGUUCGGAUUCAUUGGGCGUAAAGGGUGCGUAGGUGGCGCUGUAAGUCGGGUGUGAAAUUUCGGAGCUUAACUCCGAAACUGCAUUCGAUACUGCGGUGCUUGAGGACUGGAGAGGAGACUGGAAUUUACGGUGUAGCGGUGAAAUGCGUAGAUAUCGUAAGGAAGACCAGUGGCGAAGGCGGGUCUCUGGACAGUUCCUGACACUGAGGCACGAAGGCCAGGGGAGCAAACGGG